UAAAUGCCCACUUUCUACUUUCGCUAUCAGCAUCCCAGGUGGUGCAAUUAAUAAAGAGCUAGCGUGGGGCCACUGGCACAAACAAGGCAGCUCCUUAGAACCUGAACUUCCUAUUUGUUCCAUUCCUUGGGUAGAUAACGCCUGUUAAUUACUCUGGAGGUUUUGUUAGAACAUUCUAUCUGGUCUCGCUGGAUCAAGCUCUCCUCUCCAGAUCGCCCUAUAUGGGGAACUGAAAAUAAUCCUCGUUUCAAUAAAAU